rnacentral:rRNA from 1 species
UUAUGGCUCAGGAUGAACGCUAGCUACAGGCUUAACACAUGACAAGUCGAGGGGCAGCAGUGGAGUUGCUUGACAACUCUGAUGGCGACCGGCGCACGGGUGAGUAACGCGUAUCCAACCUUCCCUAUAGUAGAGGACUAGCCCGGCGAAAGUCGGAUUAAUACUCUAUGUUUUCCCGUGCAGACAUCUAAGAUGGAACAAAGGCUUGCCGCUAUAGGAUGGGGAUGGCGUCUGAUUAGGUAGUCGGCGGGGUAACGGCCCACCGAGCCAUCGAUCAGUAGGGGUUCUGAGAGGAAGGUCCCCCACAUUGGAACUGAGACACGGUCCAAACUCCUACGGGAGGCAGCAGUGAGGAAUAUUGGUCAAUGGGCGAGAGCCUGAACCAGCCAAGUAGCGUGCAAGGAUGACGGCCCUAUGGGUUGUAAACUGCUUUUAUGCGGGGAUAAAGUUCACUACGUGUAGUGUUUUGUAGGUACCGCAUGAAUAAGGACCGGCUAAUUCCGUGCCAGCAGCAGC